rnacentral:rRNA from 1 species
UGGGGAAUUUUGGACAAUGGGCGCAAGCCUGAUCCAGCAAUGCCGCGUGCAGGAUGAAGGCCUUCGGGUUGUAAACUGCUUUUGUACGGAACGAAAAGCCUCUCUCUAAUACAGGGGGGUGAUGACGGUACCGUAAGAAUAAGCACCGGCUAACUACGUGCCAGCAGCCGCGGUAAUACGUAGGGUGCAAGCGUUAAUCGGAAUUACUGGGCGUAAAGCGUGCGCAGGCGGUUUUGUAAGACAGUGGUGAAAUCCCCGGGCUCAACCUGGGAACUGCCAUUGUGACUGCAAGGCUGGAGUGCGGCAGAGGGGGAUGGAAUUCCGCGUGUAGCAGUGGAAUGCGUAGAUAUGCGGAGGAACACCGAUGGCGAAGGCAAUCCCCUGGGCCUGCACUGACGCUCAUGCACGAAAGCGUGGGGAGCAAACAGGAUUAGAUACCCUGGUAGUCCACGCCCUAAACGAUGUCAACUGGUUGUUGGGGAUUUAUUUCUUCAGUAACGAAGCUAAC